rnacentral:rRNA from 1 species
ACCAGAUACCUCUGGUGUACCAGUGGUGUACCAGUUGUCGUGCCAACGGCAUAGCUGGGUAGCUAUGUAUGGACGGGAUAAGUGCUGAAAGCAUCUAAGCAUGAAGCCCCCCUCAAGAUGAGAUUUCCCAACUUCGGUUAUAAGAUCCCUCGAAGAUGACGAGGUUAAUAGGUUCGAGGUGGAAGCGUGGUGACACGUGGAGCUGACGAAUACUAAUCGAUCGAAGACUUAAUCAA